UGGCAGCCACAGCACGCUUGACCCUGCUGAGAUUGUCCCACGUGUGGCCAAGGACAGAAGCCAGGAUGGUGGGAUCCCACCCUGGAACAGCUUGGCUGCCAGCACAUGGACAUCACUUCCUUCCCAGGCCUGGGAGGGUGGGUGGUCCCUCCCCCUCACUGUGAGGGUUUGGGUUGGUGGGACUCAGCCCAGCCCCCUACCUCUGUCCCGGGUAACCCUCGGAGUAUUUGUUGUUCAUGCAGGAUCCCAGCGCCUCCAGCACCGCUCGGCUCGCAAAGUUCUCCGACGCAAUCAGCUCCAGCCCCAGCCUCUGCCGCUGCUUCUCCUUCUUGAUGAUGCUGUGCACCUUUGGGAGAGGGCAGAAACAGCUUCACCAUGCCAGCUCUGCAGGGAGACAUGGGAGCUCCACCACAGGGUCUGCACCCUUGGAGGGACAGGUCUUGGCUUGGAGCGAUGGACAGCGUCUCCUCUUCCCCGUCCCCCUUCCCUGACAGCUGCCCCACCGAGCUGCCUGAGAAUGCCACCGACCAGGACUACUACUCCGGGCUCCAGAAGACCAUGCACGUGCUGUCCAUGGUGGUGUACGGCAUCGCCUGCGUGCUGGGGGUGACGGGCAAUGGCCUCGUCAUCUGGAUCGCCGGCUUCAAGAUGAAGAAGACGGUGAACUCCAUCUGGUUCCUCAACCUGGCCGUUGCUGACUUCAUCUUCACCUUUUUCCUGCCCCUCAGCAUCGCCUACACCGCCCUGGGCUUCCACUGGCCCUUUGGGAAGCUGCUGUGCAAGCUGAACAGCACCAUCGCCUUCCUCAACAUGUUUGCCAGCGUCUUCCUCCUGACCGUCAUCAGCGUCGACCGCUGCGUUUCCGUGGCCUUUCCCGUCUGGUCUCACAACCGCCGGAGCCCGGAGCUGGCGGCCAGGAUCGCCCUGGGAACGUGGGUCCUGGCCCUGCUGCUCAGCUCGCCGUACCUGGUCUUUCGGGACACCGUGGUCAGCUCGAGGAACACCACCAGCUGCUACAACAACUUUGCGCUGUCCGACGAUUACUCGUCCGAGGCCACGCGGAGCCUGUGGAGGGUGCGGCACAAAGCCAUGAUCGUAACGCGCUUCCUGUGCGGCUUCCUCGUCCCUUUCCUGGUGAUUCUCGUCUGCUACAGCGUCGUGGCUGUGAAGCUGAGAAGAAGGCAGCUGGCCGGCUCUGCGAAGCCCUACAGGAUCAUCACUGCUGUCACAGCCUCCUUCUUCCUCUGUUAUUUCCCCUAUCACGUCUUCUCCCUGCUGGAAAUAUCCAAAAACUCUUCCAGCCAUGAGAUGAAACUGGCCCUCUACAUUGGCAUCCCCUUGGUUUCCAGCCUUGCUUUCUUCAACAGCUGCAUCAACCCCAUCCUGUACGUCUUCGUGGGGCCGGAUUUCAAGGAGAAGUUUCUCCAGUCCAUCCUGUCCACCUUCGAAGGGGCCUUCAGUGAGGAGUCGGUCCUGGGCGGCCUGAGCAGCCGCAGGAAGUCCAGGUCUGCUUCGGAAGUGGAGGUCCCGAGGGUCUGAGUGUGGAAGGGGCCCUUCCCUCCUCUGCAGUUUCCCUAAUUUCAGAGCUCUAGUGGCAGGACUGGGGGCUGUGAAGGGCUGUGCAGGCUAACAAGGUAUAAUUUGGUGUCUUGGGGGUAUCUCAAGCACACUGUGACACAAUGGAAAGGAAAGAACUCUCUGCAGCUGCAGCAAGGUGGGUUAAAGCAGCAGCAUUUUACUCCUUGGGCCUUUUGUUCAUGCAUCUUUUAAAGAAACAGGGUUAAAUGCAAUGGCUCCGUGUAUUUUUGUAUAGUGACAGCUGGUAAGACACUCCCUAGGAAGGACAAAUCGGUGGCUGUGCUCCUGUUACUCAGGCUGGAUAUACAGCAUAACUAUUUCUGAGCAAUGAUGGUUUGGGUUUGUGUUUGGCAUCUUUCCAGCCCUUAAAUAGUGGGGAUCUGAUAUUUUGUGCUGUUGGUGAAUGAACAUUAAACCCCAAUAAACUUCUCUAAAACAUACCCAGCCUGUUGUGUUGCCUGUGGCAUAAAAUGUGUGUUGAUCCAAGCUGACAGAGCAGGUUCAUCUUUGGUAACAGAAGAACUACAUAAAAAGAGUAAAUACCCAGAAUUUGGAACCAAACCACUGGCAUUAACAGCAGCUCUCUUGAGUGAAGCAGACAGGACACAACCUGGGUGUGAGGACUUGCCUGGGGCACUUGGACCACGUGGAUCUGAUUGCCAGGCCCUGCUUAUGGCUUAUUGCUGGUUUUCAGACCUUUGGGUACAUUUGGAAAACAGUGACUUGGAGGAGAAAGAAGAGCAAGUAGCAGAGCUGAGUCUGGUCAAAUUUCACAUUUGCAAACUUCCCUGGAAGAAGAUGGUGGAGGUUUUCUUCCCAGGCUUCAUCAGCUUCUGAAACUCUGAAAUUUUUAUCCCACGUAAUUCCCUGUGACAAGAGACUUCACAAGUGCCGGACCAGGACCUCAGACUCCUGUCAUGCCUCUCUCCUCAUCCUGGCAGCCUUGAGAGUCAGGUUUUGAAGUGUUGACCUGGUUUGUGGUAGGGAAGAAAGCAAUUUUCUGGGUCAUUUAAAAAUCCAAGGUGCGUAAAGAUUCCCAAGGGAAUCAUGAUUUGAAUGAAGAAGGAUGUCUGGGUGAUCUAAGGAAUUGCCACUGGAACAGCAGUAGGUGAUGGAUGCAGGCUGUUGUGCAGCCAAGUGCUGGAUGAGCAGUGCCCCUCACCUUGGCUGGACUAGGUGUGUAUGGGGGGUUUUUUUUGCACAUCUCUGCUUGCCAGGGUCACAUCUGGAUUAAGGACAACAAACCUCUGUGAGCCAGUGUAUUCACACCCAGCAGAUUUUCAGCAUUCCUUAGAUGACUGCUAAUUGAAUCAUUGUGAAUGAAAUAAAAUCUGUGUGCUCAUCCUGAAGCAACUGUUGGUUAAACUCUUAGUGUUUGGAUAGCAUAUUGUCAGAUUAACAAAUCCCUCUCUCUUGGGAGAUGAGAUUUAAGCUCACAUUUCCUCUGAUCAGGAAAACAGAAGUGAGAAAUUGAUUUUUUUUUUUUUCCUAAGAAAACAAAGGCAGUAUCGUUAUAAAAAGGAUCGGAAGACAGGAUCUCUUAGUUCCCGGUCCUGUGGCUUGCUUGAGCAAUGUCAGGAAUUCGGGGCAGCACAAAUCAAACAGUCAGCAAGUUCUGGGUGCCCUGGGGUACUGAAAAAUGCUUCUGGGGAAGGCUGCUAAUUGCAUUACGGGUCAGUGCUUCACCAUGUGUCGUUUCUAGUUGCUCUGCAUCAAACUGCUGUGCCCCAGCGGCCUGCAGCGAAACCCUGCGACGGAGACUGAUGCCAAAUCUCCUCUGCUCUGUGAAGAGGCCAACAAAAAGCUCAAAACCCCCUUCCCUUUUGUCCUAAAAGCCCUGAAACAAAAGAAGAACCUACUGGGGUCAGUGACCCCGAAUCAACUGUGGAAGCAGCAGCCUGGAAACAGGAAAACACCGACUGGGAACGGUGGGGGUGGUGAGGUGCUGGGAGAGGUCUAUUCUCUUACCCUCCAGUGCAAUUUGGAAGGGGCUGUAGGAAAGUCAGAGGAUCAGUGCUGCACCUCUGAGGGCACAAAGAGGCUGAUGGCCUCUCUGCUCACAUAUUUCAAACAGAUGUCUUGGCUUUGUGUGAGCCUGCAAGUGGAGCGCUCGACAUCUGGCAGCUGCUCCUGGUUAAAUGGCUUCUCCUUCCCCAGCUCCCAGUCUACUGAAAAAAGCAAAAUGAGGAGGCAAUUGAUGAAGCCUUGGAAUGCGUGAAGCAAGAAGGAAGCGCAAAAUACAGGGAAAAAAACUCGGCCAUGAGUAUUUAAGGUGGAAAAUGCAGCUUGUAAUGGUUUCAAACUAUGAAUUUAACGUUGUCCUUUCAUAGGCAUGUUUAAGUGAGCCGUUCAGUGGCUCUUCCUCCUCUUUCACAUUAAGGCCAGUGUGGACAGAAAUACCUGCUGGGAUGCUAGGCUUUGCUCCAGUGCACCCUGCAGGCCAAGAAUAAUCAAGUUUAAUUGCUUUUCGUGAGAAAAGCUGCAACAGAAAGUACCUAAUUUGUACCUUUAUACUAAAUGCUAAAAUUCUGAUCCAUAAAACACUGUUCAUCUUGGGCAUACUGAGAAAGCAUAAUUUAAAAUAGGUUCUAGCCAUGCAGUUAGGGGAAAAACACGAUGUUUGGGGUUUUAUUUAAAGGAGGGACCUUUAUUUGCUCUAUGUCUGUGUGGGAUGACUGUAACUUCGUCAAAGCAGUGAAAGGACAGUUUUGUCAAGGGUGUCCUGGGAUAAAGCUAGUGGUUUUGUGUUUCGUUUUUUGGGGUUUUUUUAACAGGGUGUUUAAAAUAAGAGUCUCACUGCAGAUGUCAAAAGAAUCUUCAUGCAGUUUAAUCAACGUAUGUGGCAAGGGAAGUCCUGAUUAAAGGGACUCUGGAUUAACGAUGUGUGCUGGUGAUAGGGAACCGAGACAUCACUGAUUGUUUCUUUUCCUG